GAUGAACGCUAGCGGCAGGCUUAACACAUGCAAGUCGAGGGGUAUAGGUUUUCGGACCUAGAGACCGGCGCACGGGUGCGUAACGCGUAUGCAAUCUACCUUUCACAAAGGGAUAGCCCAGAGAAAUUUGGAUUAAUACCUCAUAGUAUAGCAGUUUCGCAUGAAACCACUAUUAAAGUUCCAACGGUGAAAGAUGAGCAUGCGUCCCAUUAGCUAGAUGGUAAGGUAACGGCUUACCAUGGCUACGAUGGGUAGGGGUCCUGAGAGGGAGAUCCCCCACACUGGUACUGAGACACGGACCAGACUCCUACGGGAGGCAGCAGUGAGGAAUAUUGGUCAAUGGACGCAAGUCUGAACCAGCCAUGCCGCGUGCAGGAUGACGGUCCUAUGGAUUGUAAACUGCUUUUGUACGAGAAGAAACAACAUUACGUGUAAUGUCUUGACGGUAUCGUAAGAAUAAGGAUCGGCUAACUCCAUGCCAGCCGCCGCGGUAACAC
rnacentral:rRNA from 1 species